GGGGCUGAUUCUGGAUUCGACGGGAUUUGCAAAACCCAAGGUGCAUGCCGAGGGGCGGUUGGCCUCGUAAAAAGCCGCAAAAAAUAGUCGCAAACGACGAAAACUACGCUUUAGCAGCUUAAUAACCUGCUUAGAGCCCUCUCUCCCUAGCCUCCGCUCUUAGGACGGGGAUCAAGAGAGGUCAAACCCAAAAGAGAUCGCGUGGAAGCCCUGCCUGGGGUUGAAGCGUUAAAACUUAAUCAGGCUAGUUUGUUAGUGGCGUGUCCGUCCGCAGCUGGCAAGCGAAUGUAAAGACUGACUAAGCAUGUAGUACCGAGGAUGUAGGAAUUUCGGACGCGGGUUCAACUCCCGCCAGCUCCACCA
rnacentral:tmRNA from 1 species